rnacentral:rRNA from 1 species
GACGAACGCUGGCGGCGUGCCUAAUACAUGCAAGUUGAGCGCUGAAGGUUGGUCCUUGUACCAACUGGAUGAGCAGCGAACGGGUGAGUAACGCGUGGGGAAUCUGCCUUUGAGCGGGGGACAACAUUUGGAAACGAAUGCUAAUACCGCAUAAAAACUUUAAACACAAGUUUUAAGUUUGAAAGAUGCAAUUGCAUCACUCAAAGAUGAUCCCGCGUUGUAUUAGCUAGUUGGUGAGGUAAAGGCUCACCAAGGCGAUGAUACAUAGCCGACCUGAGAGGGUGAUCGGCCACAUUGGGACUGAGACACGGCCCAAACUCCUACGGGAGGCAGCAGUAGGGAAUCUUCGGCAAUGGACGAAAGUCUGACCGAGCAACGCCGCGUGAGUGAAGAAGGGUUUCGGAUCGUAAAACUCUGUUGGUAGAGAAGAACGUUGGUGAGAGUGGAAAGCUCAUCAAGUGACGGUAACUACCCAGAAAGGGACGGCUAACUACGUG